rnacentral:siRNA from 1 species
UGAAUAUAAGGGUGAGUUUCAA